GAUGAACGCUGGCGGCGUGCCUAACACAUGCAAGUCGAACGAAGCACUUUAGCUUGAUUCUUCGGAUGAAGGCUAUUGUGACUGAGUGGCGGACGGGUGAGUAACGCGUGGGUAACCUGCCUCAUACAGGGGGAUAACAGUUAGAAAUGACUGCUAAUACCGCAUAAGACCACGGAGUCGCAUGACUCAGUGGGAAAAACUCUGGUGGUAUGAGAUGGACCCGCGUCUGAUUAGGUAGUUGGUGGGGUAACGGCCAACCAAGCCGACGAUCAGUAUCCGACCUGAGAGGGUGACCGGCCACAUUGGGACUGAGACACGGCACAAACUCCUACGGGAGGCAGCAGUGAGUAAUAUUGAACAAUGGGGGAAACCCUGAUGCAGCGACGCCGCGUGAGCGAAGAAGUAUUUCGGUAUGUAAAGCUCUAUCAGCAGGGAAGAAAAUGACGGUACCUGACUAAGAAGCACCGGCUAAAUACGUGCCAGCCGCCGCCGUAA
rnacentral:rRNA from 1 species